GUGAAUGAUGACACUAAGACUAGAGUCUCUGAAUGCUCUGAUGCCUUAGUAAACGCUCUGACAC